AUCGAAGACAUCAGCCUGCUGAUGAGCUCCCACACGAAUUGCUUGAUUCAUUGUGAAGACGAUCAAGACCCUAUAUAGGUCUGUAGCUCAGUUGGUUAGAGCGCACCCCUGAUAAGGGUGAGGUCGGCAGUUCAAAUCUGCCCAGACCUACCAAUAUGCGGGGCCAUAGCUCAGCUGGGAGAGCGCCUGCCUUGCACGCAGGAGGUCAGCGGUUCGAUCCCGCUUGGCUCCACCACUUACGCUGUACCUUGAUCAGAACCUAGAAAUGAACAUUCGUUGAUGAAUGUUGAUUUCUGGCUUUUGUCAGAUCGUUCUUUAAAAAUUCGGAUAUGUGAUAGAAAUAGACUGAAUGCCAGUUUCACUGCUGGCAGUUCAGGCUAAGGUAAAAUUUGUGAGUUCUCACGAAUUUUCGGCGAAUGUCGUCUUCACAGUAUAACCAGAUUGCUUGGGGUUAUAU
rnacentral:tRNA from 1 species